GAUGAACGCUGGCGGCGUGCCUAACACAUGCAAGUCGAACGGAAAGGCACUGCUGUUUUGGGGUUCUCGGUUGGCGAACGGGGGGGGAACACGUGAGUAACCUGCCCUUGACUUUGGGAUAACUUCAGGAAACUGGGGCUAAUAACGCAUAGGAGCUCCUGCUGCAUGGUGGGGGUAGGAAAGUUUCGGCGGUUGGGGAUGGACUCGCGGCUUAUCAGCUUGUUGGUGUGGUAGGGGCUUACCAAGGCUUUGACGGGUAGCCGGCAUGGGAAGGUGAACGGGCACCAUGGGACUGCGAUACGGCCCAGACGGCUACGUGCGGCAGUGGUGGAGAGUCUGACACAAUGACCGCAAGCGUGAUACAGAGACGUCGGGUGCGUAAAGCCGUGUUUCGGGUUAAAAACCGCUUUAGCAUGUGAUGAAGCUAGUGUGACGGUACCGGAUAAAGAAGCACCGGCUAACUACGUG
rnacentral:rRNA from 1 species